UCACCCUUCUCCUGGGCCCCCGCGUCGUCCACCCCUGGCGACUUGAGGGGUGAAGACCUAGCAGCGCCACUUUCUCCUCCCCUUCCCUCCCCUGACCCACCGCCGCCGGAGGCGUCGGCCGACGAAGCUUGUCUGUCUCCGGGGAUGGAAACGGCGGGGCGUCUUUCUACCUGGCGGGAAGCGGCGGGGUUGCUUCUCCGGCUAGCGCGUGUGGAGGUGGUGGCGGCGACGCAUGUUGCUCCGGCAUGGUGCCAUGCGGCGCACGGCCGUGCUCGAGGCCGUGGUGCACAACGCUGGUGUGAGCGCUGUUGGCCACUGGAUGGGGCGGAGGUCCCCCGCGUGGUCUGCUGGAUCUCGCGCCGGCGGGGCGGUUGCCGUGGUGGAGAGCAUGGGGCGCCGGCACGACUGUGCUAGGGGCUGUGGCAUGCUGCACUGGUGUGCGCGGGGUUGGUAGCUGACUUGGGCAGCGGCCUCCCGAGUGGCCUGCUGGUGCUAGUCUCCAUGUCAGGCAGGCGGGCUGCAGAUGUUUCGUCUCCUGUCGGUCCUCUUGAUGUGCUCCGGCCAGAUGCCGUGCUGGGGGUGUGGCUGUUAUUCCUCUUCCUUAUGCGGCAGCGCCGGCGAAAGGACGACGUGGUGCUGGACAGACUCCCUUCCCCUUCCUCCUCUGUGGAUAUUUCUUUCCUUUCUUCCUUACUGAUUUCAACAGUUUUCAUGGGUGCGCUUAUACUAAACAAAAUUAACAUUGUGGGUGUGCCGCUGGCUGUUGGUAUUGAUAAAAGAAACUGAUGCUCAUAUAUGUGCGGGGACAUAGUUUGUUGAGUAAGAUCAGCUAAUUCUUCCAACGCUGUCUACCUCAUAAAAGAAGUGGUGAGCUUUUCCUUCC